UUGUACAUGUGCUGAGUGUUGUUGACUUGUUAAUGUGGUGUUGCCUUCAAAGACAAGCUGUAAACUGACACGGAGAAUUUAUCACUGGGCAGAUUGACUCAGACAUCCCAUCCAUUCACAAAGCUUGCAUAUGACAAUGGAAGGAAGUUGUCUUGGGAAGGAGGAGAAUCUCAGCCACCUACAAGACAGUCUAUUUCCUACUGCAAUAUGUGAAGGAAGCUCUGUCCAGGCCCUUCUCAAUCCCUACCGAGGAGGUGAGCUACAAAUGGAUUCCAAAGGCAUCAUUUCUCAUGUAUCAUUCUGCACUGCUGUGAGUACUGAUAUACACUGAUAACUGCUGUUUGCCUGUCCAGCUCUAGGGUCGGGGGGGAAGCAGACGAAUGUUGUGUUAUGACACCUUCUAUGCAUAGUGCUAGUCUUUGGCCACCCACUUUCAGCACAGCCAUAUUCUGACCACCAAGAUUUUAUGUUCUUGCUCUUUUCUCACUAUAAUAAUGAUUAUUGCCUUAUCUACAUUUGAGAGUAUGUAACAGGAUUUUUUUUUUUGUCAAUGAUCUCUUUUAUUCCUUGCGUUGUGUUUGUUCUGCUUCUGAUUUUCUUGUAUAUUUCUUACUUGUUUGUUGGAGGAUGCAUAAUGGGAACUAAUGUUUUGUUGAUGAGGUCUUCAGCUUCCAGAAUAAGAAGCUAUAGCUUUUUUUUUUUUGUUUUUAUAUUUGACACAUUUCCUAAAAAAUGACUAGGAGGAGUUACUGUUUCUCAUCCACAUCCAGUUAUGUCACUUUGGCUGAGCCACAAUAACUGACUGUAUGUGUGCAUUAAGAAUUGAAGGAUUAAGUAAAAAAAGCUGGGAACAGGAAAACGUGCUUACAGUUGUUUACUGAAGCUCAGCUCCAUCUUAACUUCUUCAGCUAUAGCAACUUUAUUGAGCAUGUGUACUCUUAUUUGCCAUAGUUCUGGAUGCAGAAGGAGAGAUUCAGACUCUUUUGGUAGGUACGAGCACCGACUGUGGUGGUAGGUUAAUAGUACUGGAAAUGACAGUUUCCAGCUCUGUGAUGGAUGAUGCAGCAUUUUUAAAGCAGCUUGCAGACCAUUGCCUGGCACAGGACACUCUUCGGUAAUAAAGAAACGGUGCCAACAAGAUUGUACUUAAAU
rnacentral:lncRNA from 1 species